CAGCUUUUCAAGAAUGUCUUAACGAUGAGAAACGGAUACGUGCAGGACAUUUGGAGAGAAAGCACCUGGAGUUCUUGUUGGUUCAUUUGCCUGUGGUGAUGGAAGACCUUAAUUGGUGUUUGGAAGCAUCUGCGAAGGGCAGUGCUAAACUUCAAAGGGACGUCCGUGUUGGUUUGCUAUAAAAGAUUAACACCUUAUGGGGGCAACUGAUGGGAAAGCUGCAGUGAGCCUGAGGAGCUUGAUAUCAAAGCCUGUCCCACCAUCUACAAGGCACAAGUCAAGAGUGUGAUGGAAUACUCCCCACUUGCCCUGGAUGGGGGCAGCUCCAACAACACUCAAGACGCUCAACACCAUCCAGGACAAAGCAGCCCCCGCUUGAUUGGCACCACAUCCACAAACAUCCCACGCCCUCCACCACCGACGCUCAGUAACAGCAGUGUGUACCAUCCAUAAGUUGCACCGCAGAAAUUCACUAAAGAUCCUCAGACAGCACCUUCCAAACCCACGACCACUUAUGCAUAGAAGGACAAGGGGCAGCAGAUACAUCGGAAUACCACCCCCCUAUAAGUUCGUAACAGUGCACAAGCAUCAUGUGGACUGCUAUGGGGCUUUACGGAGGCAACUUACCCCCAGAUUCUCGAGGAGCAAUUAAUGUUGGGGAAUAAAUGGCAGCCUAGAUAGUGAAAUUCCACAUCCCGUGUCUGCCAACUGAAAUCUACCCCCAGAGACUUAAUCACACAAUCCUUCCACCAAACCCCAUCCCUCCAGCCAUUGGUCAGUCAACAGCUCUGACAUUGUGACACGCCGCCUUCCGACAGCCAAUCAGAAAGCAAAGAUCACCCCAUUGGAUGACACUCGGCAAAUGGUCAUUUCUCCCCUAAUUUAAAUAUUUUUACAUCUAGUGAAAAGAAAUGCAUAUAAAAAUAAUGACCAAUACUACAAUUA